rnacentral:rRNA from 1 species
AUGGUUCGAUCUCAGCCAGGUGCUUUGAAGUACAAGAGCAAGCUCGGCUUUGAAGGCCUCCCAAACCAGGCCUGGACGACGGCGUCCGUGAAAGAUGUUCUCAAGCAGCUGGGUGAUGAGCUGAUCGAGAUCCUGCCGCCGGCAAGCCGCCGCGAGCUUGAGGUCAUGGCGUGGCUUCGUGACCCUUCCUUUGUUGGCAAGGUGGUGACGGUGGAGAUACCUGAGUCGAAGCUGACAAACAAGCCACGAGUCCAUGGAUGA